UAUUUUAGUUUAAGUAACAUAUCCCGAAAACAUAAGAUCUAAGUGUGGUAUUAGUUUUAGGUUAAAUUUAAAGUGCUGUAGCAUUAGCUCAUAAUAAAUAGUAUCUUAGUGGUGAAAGGCCUUCAAUUAUGUUGAUAGCUGGAUAGUUAUUAAAUAUAUCAAGUUUAUAAUAAAUUUAUGAGGUGAUAAGAUUUCAUAGUAAGAAUUUAAUGUAUAACUAUAAUGUGCUAUUAAUUAAUCCUUAACAGUAUUUACCCUUAGUAAAAUAAUUUUACAUAACAAAUAUUCCCUAAUAAUAACUAACUUAAUUUAAUUAAAUAUAAAUUUAAUAAUGUAUAAAUAAGUAUAUUAAUAUAAAUUUAACUAAAUAAACUCGGCAAAUAUUAUAUACGACUGUUUAACAAAAACAUAGCCGGUAGUUAUUAUAUUAUUGGUGUGACCUGCCCGGUGAAUUUUUAACGGCCGCAGUACUAUGACUGUGCAAAGGUAGCAUAAUCAUUUGACUUUUAAUUGAAGUCUGGUAUGAAAGGAUAAACGUAUAUAGGCUGUAUCUAGUUGUAAAUUUAUGUAAAUUAUUUAUAGGGUGAAAAUACCCUAAGUAAGAAAAAUAGACGAGAAGACCCUUAGAAUUUUAAGAAAAAGUAUAAAUUAAUAUAAUAUGAUUUUUGUUGGGGCAACAUUUUUUCAUAUAAUAAAAAAUAAAUAUUUUUACAUAACGAAAAGUUUAAUAAAGAAAAAAUUACCUUAGGGAUAACAGCAUAAUUUUAAUUAAAGAUUGUGACCUCGAUGUUGGACUAGGAACUAUUAAGGCUAGUCGUUUUAAUA
rnacentral:rRNA from 1 species